UGUUUUGAAACUGAAAGCAGACGGUGGGAAGGUGUACAAGAGCUGUAGUUGAUUGGGAAGACGUGUCACACUUGGAGUCAGCGUUUUUCUGAUUAAUAACACACUAUAUAAAAAUGUUAUGUGGCAAAUGUUGUCAGUCCACAGUUAGAAUAUGUGGGGCGUGUGGAAUAGCAUUGCACAGUUCGAAGAAAACAGUUUUCUUGUCUUCACUCAGGAACUUAACAGUAACUAAAAUAUUAAAAGACGCCGAACCAAGUACAGCAAGUGGUCGCAAAAAUCCUCUUUGGCGGAAACAUCAGUUCAGCAUCCAGAAAGGACCCGGCUUAAAGGAUUUUUUGCAAGGAAACCUACCGAGUGAUACACAUAGAGUAGCAAUUACGGAACUCCCAUACGUUGCCACAGAACAUUUCAGUGGACAUGGAAGGAAGGUAUACUUUGAUGUCUAUGGAUGCCAGAUGAAUGUGAAUGACACUGAAAUAAUUUGGUCAGUUCUAAAGGAUGUAGGAUUUACAAAAACAGAUAGUCUCACAGAUGCAGAUGUAGUCCUUGUAGUUACGUGUUCCAUCCGUGAAGGAGCUGAAACUAAGAUCUGGAAUAAAUUACAAUACCUAAAAGGUAUUAAUAAUACAAGAAUGAAAACGAAGGAGAAACCACCAAUGAAAAUAGGAAUACUAGGUUGUAUGGCAGAACGACUGAAGUUCAAACUUUUGGAGCGUGAACAGUGUGUUGAUAUCAUUGCCGGUCCCGACAGUUACCGUGACCUUCCAAGGUUAUUGGCAGUUACUGAUACUGGACAAGCUGCAGUGAAUGUGCUGCUGUCAUUAGAUGAAACAUAUGCAGAUAUAAUGCCAGUUCGCCUUAAUCAAGAUGCAGUAACAGCUUUUGUAUCUAUAAUGCGUGGCUGUGACAAUAUGUGUACCUAUUGUAUUGUUCCUUUCACAAGAGGAAGAGAACGGUCACGGCCAGUGGAUUCCAUAUUGGCUGAAGUGCGACAGUUAUCAGAACAGGGUAUCAAAGAAGUAACCCUCCUGGGUCAGAAUGUGAACAGCUACCGUGAUUUGUCAGCAAUUGAUCAUAAUGGUGGUAUACCUGAUGAAGAAACACAUCUUGCAAAGGGGUUUCGCACAGUCUACAAGAACAAGAGAGGAGGGCUCAGGUUUGCCGAUCUGCUGGACAAGAUUUCUCUUGUUAAUCCUGAAAUGAGAAUACGAUUUACUUCUCCACAUCCCAAGGAUUUUCCUGAUGAGGUUCUGCAAUUAAUUCAUGAGCGACCAAAUAUUUGUCGCAGUCUGCAUCUUCCUGCACAGAGUGGAAGCACGAAAGUUCUAGAACGCAUGCGACGUGGCUACUCUCGUGAAGCCUACCUUGAACUAGUGGAUCAUGUUCGUCAAAUGGUUCCAGGAGUUGCACUAUCCAGUGAUUUUAUUUGUGGCUUUUGUGGUGAGACAGAAGAAGAAUUUCAAGAAACGCUUGAUCUGAUCACAAGAGUGAAAUACAAUACAGCUUUCCUGUUUCCAUACAGCAUGAGAGAGAAAACGACUGCUCAUCGAAGGUUUGAUGAUGACGUACCACCAGAAGUAAAACAAAGACGACUGAUCGAAAUGGUUUCUGCAUUUCGUGAUGAGGUUUACAAAUUAAACCAAGAGAAAAUUGGACAAGUUGAGCUUGUUUUAGUGGAAGGUCCAAGUAAGAGGUCAGUGAAGAAUUUAGCUGGAAGGAAUGAUGGAAAUGUCAAAGUUAUCUUUCCUGCUACAGAAAUCCCUCAAAGCAAGAUGUCAUCACAGAGGAAACAGGUUGUGCCUGGUGACUACGUUGCAGUUUUGAUAGAAGAAGCUAGUUCUCAGGUCCUCAAAGGUCAUCCAUUGUAUCAUUCAUCAUUAGUUAAUCAUCUGUGUGACAGUAGAGAGAAUACGCAGAGAAAUACAGGAAUGGCUUAAAAGGAGAUCAAUGUUUUUCAGGUUUUGGAGGGAGAAAACAGAAAUUCGCAGUACAAGUUAUUUAACAAAGAGUGUGAGACCUGAUGUGAUAGGAUCUGAAGUGAACCUCAGCUGGGUACCAUAAUAAGAUGAGGAUGGCUUCAUGAGAUACUGAGUUAUGCUUACAGUAAACAGAAGAGAAAAAUAUUGUGAAAGUGCAACCUGAAAUGUCAACUAAAUGAAAUAUGACUGCUGAUGAACUUUCUACAGAUGAAUAGCAGAUUGGAAUGAUAAUUAAUUUUCAUAGUUAAGACUUUUGCUCACUUCACCUCGAGUUUUUGUUUCUGUGUCUUGAACAUUAUUUUUGAGAAAAUAAGUAAAUGUUUUUAUCAGAA